rnacentral:lncRNA from 1 species
UUCAAAUGUGCCCUCUCCAGAGCCUCCCAGUCCCAGAGGUCAGCAUCAUUGUGUUCAUUAAAAGGGUCAAGAUUAAACCUUACAGUUCCUAUAAAAAAUUAAAUUAAGCUUAAUAUAAAUACAAUUACAUUAAUUCAAAGAUUAAUAUGCUUCACAAUUUACAGAGUAAAAAUUAUAAAAAUCAACAACACAAUCAUAUAUCUAGCAAAGCAAAACAUCACUUAUUAUUGCUUUCCAGUUUUGACAUCACAAGUAUUCCAAUCUUCACUCAAGUAGAUCAACGAAUUUCUUAACUUUCAUGUUAACAUAUUUAUCCUUAUUUUCUCAUUCGUUUUUUUCCCUUACUGUAUUUUAUAAAAAUCAAAUUAUCAAUAACCUUUAAUAUGUGGCACUAAAAGGAGUUAGAAUUCCCUUCCUGCCAAAACAGAUCUCUCAGCUAAUCAGCUUUAAAAAAUUCAAGAUCUACAGUCCAUUUUACUAUAAGUAAAAAUAAUAAUAAUAAUAAAAAAAGAAAUAAGUCCAUUCUUACAACAUUAUUGUUCAACAUACUCUUCCCUCUGGUCAGUUGGUAACUUGGAAACAAAAUAACAGAAUCCCAGCCUAAGUUGCCAAUAUGAAAAUACGAUGGAAAAUAUCAUAUCUUAAAUAUACCUGAAAACAAAACAGGGGACUGUGGUAUAAUGCCAAGAACUUUACACAAAUCAGAGACCCCAAACUUUGCAAUAUCACAAUCAUCAAUUAAUAGUCUUCCUCUUUCCAAUUCCACAAUUCAAAAUAAAGCAUUAAGCAUGCUAGAUUUUCCAGCUCCUGUCCUUCCUACAAUGCCAACCUUAUCGCUUGGAAAAAUUGUGAAAUUCAAGCCAUGAAGGACAGGAGGAAGUUCAGGCCUGUAUCGAAGUACAACAUCCUAAAAUCUAAUUGAUCCAGAUGAGGGCCAGCCUGGAGGGGGGCGACUAUCCUCAAUGAUGGAUGGUGCCUCUGAAGGCAAAUCUAUAUAAGUGCCAACACGCUCAACAGCAUUUAGACUAUUCUCAGCCAGAAAACUAGCAUAUAAGCAAAGUAUAUUUAGACAGACUUCAAAUCCAUACGUUCUACUAUCUAAUGCCGGAUACCGUUUAGGGUUUCAGAAAGUAAAUAGAAGCCAGUGCAAGCAAGAAAACAAUGUUAAUACCUGAUAGUAGAGAUAUGCUCCAUAAAACAGUACCAACAACGGCAUUGUUGCCCACAAGGACAUUGUGCUGACAAUCCCUAUCAGGACGAAUGUUGAAAGGAGCUGAGACACUUGACCCAGAAACAUAUUGACAAAUGGGGCAACAUUACGAUCAAUGUCACCUAAAUCCUUUGCAAACCUGUUGAUUACUCUUCCAAGUGGAUUUGUAUGAAAAAAAAAACCAUAGGAGCUCGUAAUUUGGAGUGAAGCAUGGCUUCAUGCAACCUUCUGGCUGCAUAUAGACUUGAUAUGAUCAACCAAUAAGAAUUUGUUAAAGUCACCAUAACCUGAAAGGGAAAAUAAUGAGAAAAAUACCAAAUUAUCAUAUUCCACAGAUGUAAUUCAGUAGGAAUGCAGGCAUUUAGAGUAACAUGGAUUCUCAUGGGACAAAAAGCAGACACUGCACUGAUACAGAUGUGACAGAAAAUGAAUGAGAACUUAAGCAAAAGGAAUAAUUACACCAUAUUCUUCAGUCAUGUUACAAGAGAGCUAUACCUGAGCAAAUGAUAGAGCUGCAUAUAUCAGAUUAUAAAAUCCAGGAUCAUAGCCCACUGAAGCACUCUGAUCAGUCCAAUGGCUCAACCAUGUGCUACUUGAAAUUCGUAACACCUCUGUUAAGAAAUAGCAUCCAAAGAGUAUUACAACCACCCAAAGACCUCCUAAUGCAGUCUUGUAUCUGAAACGACAACAAUAAUAUUCAAGAUAGUAUGAUAAAAAGAGGAGCAAAUGGGGAAAGAAGACCAAGAAAACAGGAUCACUACAUAAAAUUUGCAAAAUCACUUUCCAAUAGAUUUCCAUCAGGAUUAUGCAGAAGUAGAGCAUGGCAGUGGGGAGAAAGAAGCAUAUUCACAAUGUAAAUGUUUGUGCAUGUGCAUAAGCACAUCUAAUAAUUUGUAGGGUAUCAAAAGGAGACAUCCAGUAGUUAGUAAAUGAUUACAAACCACUAAAUUGCAAUCAAUACAAAACUAUUUGCAUGAAUCAUGUUACCUUGCUAAAACUUUCAUACUGACAACACCUGUUUCCCGUUCUUCCUGUUUAAUAAGGACAGAUUUUCCUUCUUUUGCCUUACUCCCACUCUUUGCAGUAUCAUUAAGUUCUCCAUUGGCCACCUGUUUUGAAGAGGACUUUGGAUCAGCAGUUUCAGUAUCUACCGUUUCUUCUUCAUACUCCUCCAUCUUUCCAGCAUUUUCCAUAAGCUUUUGGAACAAUGGCCCCUGGUUAGAGAGCUCCUCAAAUGUUCCCUCCUCUUUCACAGUACCUUCAUGGAUCAAAAUGAUUCUAUCCACCUGUGAAAGGAAAUGCAGUUGAUUUGUAACAAGAACUCGGGUCUUCCCUCUCAAUUCUCCCUUGAUGCAUUUAUCAAAAACCUGAAAUGACAUGCAGUGGAAAAUACUACACAACGUUAAGAUAAUAAAUGGAACCCAGUUUACAGUCAGCAAUAAACGGGGGAUCAAUUGCAUACAGUACCCAACAACUAUCAGAACAUUGUCAGCAACUAUUUCGCUAUUAGAAAGUAUGAUCAAAGGUACUAAGAUUAGCCAUUGCAAGGCUUCUGUGACUUGGAUAGUUUAGGUGUGCCUCUUCCAUGAAUAAUUGUUUGUCCAAAUGAACAAUUAUUUUGAAGCAGAGGUAAUAUAUAACAGUGCAGCUUUGGCUACAUAUCAACUUGAUCAAAGUUAAUUGAUCUAUCAUCAAAAUCAAAGUCUGAUUGAUGUGGCCAGUCUGCUCAUCAUUGCAAGACCUACAAAAAUGAAAAAGACAUGCAAUUACAUCAUCUACACAGUGAGAAGCUACACUUCAUCUCCAACCACAUUGAAAAACCUGAGAUUCUUUAAUCUUAGAAAUUUAAGCUCAUUUAGCUCUAAUACCAUAUCUUCCAGGGUUAUCUCUAACUUGGAAAUAUUUGAGACAAUAUAUAUGGGAGAAAAAAAGGAAAGAGAAAGGAGAGGGAGGAUAAUGCAUUCAUGGACAAAAAAUGAAGUGGUCUCAGAAUUUAAUCUUUCAAAAAUUUCAUUGCAAGGGAAGGCUAUGUAAAAGAUGGCACAAAGUUAUACAUACCUUCAAUCAUCCUGUAGAGUGAUGACCACCAACUGUGAGGAUAUUUGGUAUCGGUCUAAAGAUUCCUCGAUUUCUCUAUCAUGCUUCCUUUCCAAAACCCCCUGCAAAGUUAUCACAGCAUCCCUUGUUUUCUUGAGUAUGCUAUUCUCUUCUUCCACUUCCAAUCUUUUCAGGUCAUUCUGUGAUGAGGUGAGACUGACGGCAAGGGCAAAUUGAGCUGCAGCAGCCCAGCGAGACGAAGCAAGCCAUUUUUUCUGGCCAUCAUUAUGCUUACUCUCUUCCCUAUCUGACUUACUCCCGAAUGCUAAGCUGCGUAGAUAUUGGGCAUUUGCGGCUCCUGUACUUUGCACCAUCUUAGAGAACGAACUGCCUUCAUUUGAUAGCAGUUCUUCAGGGGUAUCAUAUUCAAGAACCUUUAAACAUAAGAAGCUAGCAUCAGUAUUAUUUUAUGUUGUAUAAUUAGCAUUAGUAUUACUUACAUUAGUGCCAAAGGAUAACCAUAUUAUAAGAUUUAACCAGCAGUACCAUUUAAAUACAGUGCUUACCUUACCACCAUCGAGCAAAAGAAUCCGAUCACAGUCUAUGAUGGUGUUAAGACAAUGAGCAAUGAUGAGCAUGGUGCACGAUUUAAAUUCCUCUGGAAUUGUUUUCUGUAUGAGGGCAUCUGUUCUAACAUCUGCUGCAGUGGCUUCGUCAAGUACUAAUAUCUUUGAUCUACGCAAUAAUGCCCGAGAGAGACUCAACAGUUGCCUCUGCCCAACACUAAGUUCUCGCCUGCCUCAGAGACCUAAACAAAGUACAUUUUCAUAAAUAUUAUAUUGCUUUCAAUAAAACAUCACUUAUUGACCAUUGUAAAAAUACUCAGCAAUAAAAAUGGUUCUGUACAAAAAAAGCCACUGUGUAAUCAAGAAAUCAUAAUUUACCUCAGCAUCCAGCCCCAGAGAAUUCCUCCGUAUCACAUCCUUCAAAUGUGCCCUCUCCAGAGCCUCCCAGAGGUCAGCAUCAUUGUGUUCAUUAAAAGGGUCAAGAUUAAACCUUACAGUUCCUAUAAAAAAUUAAAUUAAGCUUAAUAUAAAUACAAUUACAUUAAUUCAAAGAUUAAUAUGCUUCACAAUUUACAGAGUAAAAAUUAUAAAAAUCAACAACACAAUCAUAUAUC